UACCACUGUUGGAUUUCGAGGUGUCAUAUAUGAAGAAUUUUUUUUAAACUAUUUUGAAUAUGCAGUGGAAGAUAGAUUAAAAUAACUUUUAAUCUAUGCAUGCAUAGAUCUAAUCUAACACCUAUUGAUCUAGUUCAUAUGAUGAAAAAUAAGAUAGUAUGCAUCUAAUUUCAAAAUAAAAUAAUCUAAAAUUAAACUGGUGAUUGGAUCACCUACCUGAAGUACAAAACUCU
rnacentral:lncRNA from 1 species